UACGAAGGGUGCAAGCGUUACUCGGAAUUACUGGGCGUAAAGCGUGCGUAGGUGGUUUGUUAAGUCUGAUGUGAAAGCCCCGGGCUCAACCUGGGAACUGCAUCCAAAACUGGCAAGCUAGAGUACGGUAGAGGGUGGUGGAAUUUCCUGUGUAGCGGUGAAAUGCGUAGAUAUAGGAAGGAACACCAGUGGCGAAGGCGACCUCCUGGACUGAUACUGACACUGAGGUGCGAAAGCGUGGGGAGCAAACAGG
rnacentral:rRNA from 1 species